CACCCCAUCACUGCGAUUCGAACCGCCGACCUUCUGAUUGGUAAGCCCAAGAGGCUCAGUGGUUUAGGAAACAUACGUCUGGCAGGAGUGCAGUGAAAAUUUCCCAAUGAUUUCCCAGUGAUUAAGAGAUAUAUAAGGCUUACUGCCUUCUUUUCAUCUAAGGGCCCAUUCAUACUGUCCUUUAAUGUGGAUAGUAGGCUUCCUGUAACCACCUUUAAUUUUCCACUGCCGAUAUGACGGUUCUCCUCCAAAUCACUGCCUUCCCCUCCCUCAAUCCAGAUUUUCUCAUAACCAGUACAGUACUCUCCUUUUCAGAGUAUGAUUGAAAAUGGGGAAAAUGUAGCCAUGAGCACAGCAGCACUUCCACUCUCAUGCUCCUCAGUAACUGGUAUUCAGAGAGUCAACGCUUCGGAUACCAGAGCAAAUAUAAAGCCAUCAUGACUAUUAGCCAUCACGCAUUAAUCCUCAAUGAAUUAAGGUAUGGAGCUUCUGGGGCGCCACAACUGUGACAUCCAACGGAAGGCGAGAGGUGGAGGGGUAGGGUGUGUAGGUGUGUGUGUGCUGGAUUUUAGCUUUGCAGAGGGGCGCCGCUGAAAUUUGAGACAUCAAGGUCCGCCACUGUAUAGACACGUGUGCCAUUUUUUGUCUGAGGGGAACUUGCCUAACUACACCCCCAAUCCUCCCUGACCACUGGCCAUGCUGGAGGAGGGCGUCCGGCUGCCCCCAGCCCUGCUUUCAGAGAUGCUGCCUGCUUGCAAUCCCACCCACCGACCCGUGCACUCUUCCCUCCAACUAGUUAUAUAAUAUGAGGCGGCUCCUUCUCCUCCAAGGCGCGCGUCGCGUGCCAGGAACGUGUGAACUAAGGAACCCGUGUCUUUCCAGGGUGGGGGGCCCUCCCCGUGCAAGCCGCAAGCGACCAUUCCGGGCCCCUCGGCGCUUCCUGGCGCUCCGAGGCGGGCUGCUCCGGCCUGCGCGGAGCGGGGUUCCCUGGAGCUCCCGCGGCCCCUGCCGUGGAGGCGCUGAGGAGGUUUCCGAGCGCCGGCGACGCCCGGCCACAUCAGCGCCCGCCUGCCUGCGCGCCCGCCCCCCUCCCCGCUCUCCCCCGGCCUCUGCCGCGCGUGCUCAGUGGGGCGGCGGAGGCGGCGCCGCUUCUUCUGCCCGGAGGAGCUGCUUCUGCCUCCUCGGCGGCCGCGGGCAAGUUCCUUCCUGUGCGCGAGGAGCGGGCGGCGGCGAGGAUGGAGGCGAGCGGCGGAGGAGGCGGCUGCUGCUGCUGCCGCGGGUGGCUGGCUCCCCUCCCUGGUUCGCCAUUGCCCAGGCAGAAUGAUCUUAUGCUCCAGUUUAACAUGACCACCAUUACACCAGAGCUUAUACCGUACUUGCGUAGCUAAUUGGCAUCCUGUGCUUCUCAACAGAACAUCAAAAGCACGGUAAUAGAAAUAGAAAAGAAAUCUCUAUCAAAGUAGUGAAAAAGUUCACUUCCACAGAGUAUCUGGCAACAUCAUCACCAUGUAACUUAUCACCACAUCACUUCUAACGAUGCCCCCGUGUUUACCAAUGCUUAGAAGGCCUCAGAAAGCAAGCAGUGGUAGCAGGAGCACUAUGAGAAAGUCAUUUCAACAAUUCCAUAAUUUCUUCCACACAGAAGGUACAAGCAUAACUACCAGAAAGCAUUUAAAGUGUCUCACCAGGUUAGGGAGGAAGCAAAUACUUAGAGUGAGGGACAUAAGGACUUCUACAGCCAGAGAUUCAAAGUCAAACUCAGGCAUAGGCAAACUCGGCCCUCCAGAUGUUUUGGGACUACAACUCCCACCAUCCCUGACCACUGGUCCUGUUAGCUAGAGAUGAUGGGAGUUGCAGUCCCAUAGCAUCUGGAGGGCCGAGUUUGCCUAUGCCUGGUCAAACUCAAGCAUUUGUGGACAAACCCUUUGUCAGAGACAAAUAUUGAUGUUGUGCUUCAGGGAAGGGGAGAAAAAUGCAGGAGAAUGAGAAUUUUAUCUUGCAGAAGGAAAAUAUAUGAACCAAGCUGGGGUUUUUCCCAUUCCACCCCCUGAAUCCACCCAUUUUGCUGCUGGGUUUGUGUCACCAUAUGACUGAGAGUGAUUUAAGAUUACAACAGAAAAUCUUUAAUAAAAAUACAUUUUAAAAAGACAAAAAACAGUAUAAUAGCAUUGCUAUAACGUAGUAACUUCCUUGGAGUAGAUGCCUGUGCAGGGAAUUUGAUAGCAGGAUACACUUGCACUAUUCAUCUAUAAACAAAAUUUAAAUGGAACAAAAAUGCUAUCAAGUUUUAGAGGCCAAAAAAGGCAGAUGUGUUAACAU
ensembl:lncRNA